ACGGAAGGCAGCAGUGGGGAAUAUUGGACAAUGGGGGAAACCCUGAUCCAGCGACGCCGCGUGAGUGAAGAAGUAUUUCGGUAUGUAAAGCUCUAUCAGCAAGGAAGAAAAUGACGGUACUUGACUAAGAAGCUCCGGCUAAAUACGUGCCAGCAGCCGCGGUAAUACGUACGGAGCAAGCGUUAUCCGGAUUUACUGGGUGUAAAGGGAGCGUAGACGGCAAAGCAAGUCUGAAGUGAAAUGCCGGGGCUUAACCCCGGAACUGCUUUGGAAACUGUUUAGCUAGAGUGCAGGAGAGGUAAGCGGAAUUCCUAGUGUAGCGGUGAAAUGCGUAGAUAUUAGGAGGAACACCAGUGGCGAAGGCGGCUUACUGGACUGUAACUGACGUUGAGGCUCGAAAGCGUGGGGAGCAAACAGGAUUAGAUACCCUGGUA
rnacentral:rRNA from 1 species